GGAGGGCGCGAGCGUUGUUCGGAAUUACUGGGCGUAAAGCGCGCGCAGGUGGGUGCGUAAGUCGGAGGUGAAAGCGCAGGGCUCAACCCUGCGACGCCCUUCGAGACUGCGUGUCUAGGGACCGGUAGAGGUGAGUGGAAUUCCCGGUGUAGCGGUGGAAUGCGUAGAUAUCGGGAAGAACACCGGAGGCGAAGGCGGCUCACUGGGCCGGAUCCGACACUGAGGCGCGAAAGCGGUGGGGAGCAAACAGGAUUAGAUACCCUGGUAGUCCACGACCGUAAACGAGUGGGUGCUAGGUGUCGGGGGGAGCGACCCCCUCGGUGCCGCAGCUAACGCAUUAAGCACCCCGCCUGGGGAGUACGGCCGCAAGGCUG
rnacentral:rRNA from 1 species